GCGGCCGCUGCAGCUGCCCGGCGCCGAAGGCCCGGCCAUCAGCGACGGGGAGGAGGGCGGCGGCGAGCCAGGCGCUGGCGGAGGAGCUGCCGGAGCCGCGGGCGCGGGGCGCCGGGACUUCGUGGAAGCCCCCCCGCCCAAGGUGAACCCGUGGACUAAGAACGCAUUGCCGCCGGUCCUGACCACCGUGAACGGACAGUCCCCCCCAGAACACUCUGCUCCAGCCAAGGUGGUGAGGGCAGCUGUUCCUAAACAGCGCAAAGGCAGCAAGCCACAGUCCCACAAGCCUCAGCCUACCCGUAAACUGCCACCCAAGAAGGACAUGAAGGAACAGGAGAAAGGAGAAGGGAGUGAUAGUAAGGAGAGUCCAAAAACCAAAUCAGAUGAAUCAGGGGAGGAAAAGAAUGGAGAUGAGGAUUGCCAGCGAGGCGGGCAGAAGAAGAAAGGAAACAAACACAAGUGGGUUCCAUUACAAAUAGACAUGAAGCCUGAAGUGCCCAG
rnacentral:lncRNA from 1 species